UCUACCCAGCUCUAUGGAAUAACUUCGGGAAACCGGAGCUAAUACCGUGUACGCCCUUCGGGGAAAGAUUUAUCGGAGUUGGAUGAGCCCGCGUUAGAUUAGCUAGUUGGUAGGGUAAUGGCCUACCAAGGCGACGAUCUAUAGCUGGUCUGAGAGGAUGAUCAGCCACACUGGGACUGAGACACGGCCCAGACUCCUACGGGAGGCAGCAGUGGGGAAUAUUGCACAAUGGGCGCAAGUGAUGCAGCCAUGCCGCGUGAGUGAUGAAGGCCCUAGGGUUGUAAAACUCUUUCAUCGGUGAAGAUAAUGACGGUAGCCGAAGAAGAAGUCCCGGCUAACUCCGUGCCAGCAGCCGCGGUAAUACGGAGGGGACUAGCGUUGUUCGGAAUUACUGGGCGUAAAGCGCGCGUAGGGGACUGGUCAGUUGGGGGUGAAAUCCCGAGGCUCAACCUCGAACUGCCUUCAAUACUGCCAGUCUUGAGUUCGGAAGAGGUGAGUGGAAUUCCUAGUGUAGAGGUGA
rnacentral:rRNA from 1 species